rnacentral:rRNA from 1 species
AACGAACGCUGGCGGCGUGCUUAACACAUGCAAGUCGAACGCGAAAGCUUCUUUCGGGAAGCGAGUAGAGUGGCGCACGGGUGAGUAACGCGUAAGUAAUCUACCCCUGUAUCUGGAAUAACCUACCGAAAGGUGAGCUAAUACCGGAUACGUUUGAGAUGAUGCGAAUGAUUUCACAGAAAGGAGGCCUCUGCAUAUGCUUCCGUACAGGGAUGAGCUUGCGUACCAUUAGCUAGUUGGCAGGGUAAUGGCCUACCAAGGCGACGAUGGUUAGCGGGUCUGAGAGGAUGAUCCGCCACACUGGAACUGGAACACGGACCAGACUCCUACGGGUGGCAG